GUGCAUUCGCAAAGACGAACAGGUCCCUUCAGCUGGGAACUUGUAAUUGGAAGAGAUGCAAUCAUUGCUGGGUCCUUGAACUUCACUAGGCGCACUAUCGCGCUGGGCAGUUCAUUCAUUUACUGUUACGCUUAUUACCAGGUCUGCCUGACGGAGAUAGGGUUAUUAGAUCCUCUGGCAAGACAGACCUGGUCAUGUGGUGGGAGUCAUUAGAGCUCUGGAUUGGG